rfam:Pelecanus crispus contig62205, whole genome shotgun sequence.
GAAAAGGUUUCCUAGAAACCACACAACACAAUCAAACAAAUGAUA